AUUGAACGCUGGCGGCAGGCUUAACACAUGCAAGUCGAGCGAGCGGCGGACGGGUGAGUAAUGUCUGGGAAACUGCCUGAUGGAGGGGGAUAACUACUGGAAACGGUAGCUAAUACCGCAUACCAUCAGAUGUGCCCAGAUGGGAUUAGCUAGUAGUUGGGGUAAUGGCUCACCUAGGCGACGAUCCCUAGCUGGUCUGAGAGGAUGACCAGCGACACUGGAACUGAGACACGGCCCAGACUCCUACGGGAGGCAGCAGGAGGGAAAAUUGCACAAUGGGCGCAAGCCUGAUGCAGCCAUGCCGCGUGUGUGAAGAAGGCCUUCGGGUUGUAAAGUACUUUCAGCGGGGAGGCGUUACGCGCAGAAGAAGCACCGGCUAACUCCGUGCCAGCAGCCGCGGUAAUUC
rnacentral:rRNA from 1 species